rnacentral:rRNA from 1 species
UACAGAGGGUGCGAGCGUUAAUCGGAAUUACUGGGCGUAAAGCGUGCGUAGACGGUUAUUUAAGUCGGGUGUGAAAGCCCCGGGGCUCAACCUGGGAAUUGCAUUCGAGACUGAAUAGCUAGGGUACGGUAGAGGGAAGCGGAAUUUCCGGUGUAGCGGUGAAAUGCGUAGAUAUCGGAAGGAACAUCAGUGGCGAAAGCGGCUUCCUGGACCAGUACCGACGUCAGGCACGAAAGCGUGGGGAGCAAACAGGA